ACUGCGCGCGCUCCAGCGCCCCAGAAGGCAGGGGGCAGCCCGGGGACCGGGGUCCCGGAGCCCCGUGGGAGGCGGGCAACACCUGUCGGGACCCGAGGGCGUGUCUGAGAUUGUGGCCUGAGGUGCUGCGCCUUCCGAUCCGGGGCAGCGGGCGUCCUGUAGCUGCGCCUUCCGAAUCCAGCCCAGAUUCUCCUACCAGCUGCUUGGGUCACGUUCUUCCUGUUUCCUCAGGGAUGCCUUCAAAAUGUGUGAAUAAGCUUCAAUCAGACUGCCCUUCCCAAAGAAAAUAACUAUAAAUGCUGGAAAAACUACAAAACAGCCACCUGAAGGCACUGGCGAGAGACAAAAGCAAGCAAAUUCUGGAGAAGAGUCAACACUUGGAAGAAGGGAGCUGCACUGGGUACAUGGGGAAGGAACAGUGUCUCUGCAUGAGAAUGGCCAAAGAACAAGAUACAUUUCCCCGUGGAGAGCAAUCCUAGAGAGAGGGAAGCAUGGGUCAGAAUAAGGUGUACUGGCCCCAGGGUAAUAGCAUGUAUUUCUGUUGCAUUGGUGUUUCCAAAAUAAUGCUUCGGUUCCAAGUUUCAGGAAUUGGUUGGGGGAGCAUGGGGAUCAUACAGUGAUUCAGGAGCUUCCUUGCAAGUAAGUGAGUGAGCCAAUCAAAUAAUUUAUGUUUAAAUCUUUCACUGUGUUAAAUGUUGAAAAAUAAAGCAAGUGAAUUCCAUCCUAUGGUGUACACAGCCCUUAUGAUUAUCCGAUAUAGGUCUCAGCCUGAAAUAACUCUGCAUUUUCUCAGCCACUUUGCUUAACACAGUGUGAAGUGGAUCUAGGACAAGGAUACAAAAAAAAAAUACUAUUCUUCUGAGAUGACAUAAAGAUCUGGCAGAAGGAAUCUCGAGAUUGGCAGAGGCUGCAUCUGAGAUUGCUCUGUCUUCUGCUGGUACUGGGAUAUGAACAGAAUGAAAUGUCCUGGGGAUCAUUGGGUAUCCGGGGAGAUUUCUCCAAUGUGGUACUUAGCUCAUUCCAUGAUGCCACAUACCUUUAUGCUAUCAGAUAAUACAAAUGACCUAAGGUCUAGGAGACUAAAAUCUGUUGAGGCAUGGCCAUCCUCAGCAAGAUCAAGCCCACUGGACUCUAAAGUGCAUUUGGCAUAUUGAGAUCCCAGUGCAUUUUAUACUUUUGUGCUUAUGGCAUUAACUGCAUAUUUUAGAAUAUAGCCUUGUGGAAAUUAUGCUACAUCUUGGAUAGUAAGUCAUCCACUUAUCAGAUCCAUUUAUUCCCUGCCAUUUAUUUUGCCUCAUAUUUUAUCUACUCAGGCAUUCUACAAUAUCUUAAAGACAUCCUUAGCCUGCAGGUUGUCAUUGUUGUUUUAAUAAUCAUAAUGAACCAUUACUUCCAGUGGCCUAAAUAUUUUCUUUAGUUUUAUAACUAGUACUUUAACUUCCAUCCUCUGAAAGGGGCUAUUGCUUUUCUGUCCAGCCAUGGGCUACCAAUGGACUUUACCAGUAGGUAUAAAUGGUGUACCCUUCUGCCUAUUGUUUCUGACCUUUAUCGAGGGCCACUUCAGCCAGCCUCACAGCACCAUGCUCAUCCACUGCUAUCAUGAUAUGACCUACUGUCCCUCCUAGAACCAGGCAAUAUCCCAAGGCAUGUGAAUCUAGCUGGGAGAUCAAUGAGGCUUAGUAUCCACAGAAUGAAAAGGUCAAUGAAAGGGAG
rnacentral:lncRNA from 1 species